GUAGGGAAUAUUGGGCAAUGGAGGCAACUCUGACCCAGCCAUGCCGCGUGCAGGAUGACGGCCCUCUGGGUUGUAAACUGCUUUUAUACGGGAAGAAAAAAUACUACGUGUAGUAUACUGACGGUACCGUAAGAAUAAGGAUCGGCUAACUCCGUGCCAGCAGCCGCGGUAAUACGGAGGAUCCAAGCGUUGUCCGGAUUUAUUGGGUUUAAAGGGUGCGUAGGCGGAUCUUUAAGUCAGUGGUGAAAGCCUGCAGCUUAACUGUAGAAUUGCCAUUGAAACUGGCGAUCUUGAAUGUGGUUAAAGUAGGCGGUAUGUAUCAUGUAGCGGUGAUAUGCUUAGCUAUGAUACAGAACACCGAUAGCGAAGGCAGCUUGCUGAACCAUUAUUGACGCUGAGGCACGAAAGCGUGGGGAGCGAACAGGAUUAGAAACCCUGGUAGUCC
rnacentral:rRNA from 1 species